rnacentral:lncRNA from 1 species
AGACUUGUAAGUUUGUGGAUAGGAUCCUGGCUCAGGUGACGUGUUGUAUUCUUAAGCAAAAAAGUUCAUUUCGUUUAUUUCACUCAACUCAGCUUGCAAAAACGAGUAAUCCGGUAAUUGACCGUCGCAUCAUCCGGGAGAAGAAUAUAUACACCACAGAAUCCGGGAAACCGGGCUUACGAGCCUGUGGCUUGAAAAGAGCUUUUGAACCUAAUUUUGGAUCCGUACUCAUACACAGUUAUGAAAUUGGGAAGCUAACUUCACAGCCACCGUGGUUUCGGGUUGAUUCCACUGUUCGCAAGAAUUGGUAAAUGUCUUCAAUUAUACGUCUGGAGCAACUCAACCAAACUUCUAAAGUGGGUAGCGAUUACCCAGUGAACGAGGCCACAUUGUAGAAACUUCACACCAUUCUGCCUCUCAAGCUUGAAACGAUCCCUCUGGAAUUAAUCGACUGAAUCUCCACCAACUUUCGGAAUUAUCUUUUUUUCUUCAGUUCUCAACAACAAUGGUUCUGUGAAAAUUACCUCUUCAUCACGUGACAGUGGGCUUCUUUUCUCUUUUAAACUCCUACUCCAGCAAUAUAAACAACAACUGGAGUUUAGUUGUUCAGCCCACUUCUUCCUGUAAAUCAUGGUCAAAACCAUCCAACUCCCAUGGAAAACUUUCCAUUCUUUCCUCUAUUGUUAAUGGAACUUUAUGCUUCUUGGGGCAGUUGGAAGUGUCUCAAAAGGAGGCCGCGAUUAUAACACUGCAUCUAAAACUUACCAGUGAAACCGUAGUUGUUAGACACAUUCAGACCGAGUCUCAAUUCUUGUAGGAGAUUCAUUUAUCGCAUUUUCCUCUCAGUCCUUCACCCAACUAUCACCUCUUUCAUUGUGUUCUCUGCCAUUUCAACAGAACGUUCCAUUUCCUUCUUAGCAACACUACUGGCUGCAGCGAAUCUCAAUACCAUUAUAGAAGAUCAUUUGUAGAUCCUGUAUAGAAACGACUACAGUUUUAGUUCCAUGCACCAUGGUGUGGUUAACCCUGCUGAAAGAAGCAGGAACCGUCCAUGAGGAGGUCUUCUGUGCACAUUUACCCAAUUUCACUGACAAAGGUUGAGUCGUUCCGAAACAAUAGUACAAAAAGGUAUCUGCCUCACAGAUUAAGCAACGAGAUCGAACCGGAAAUCUCAUGAUUGCAAAGCGAAAGUUCUAAUUAAACGUCUAUUCUAAUUAUUAAGCUUCUUCCCCUUUUCCUUUUCAUCGGACUUAUCUAUCCUGCACACUAUGUCUGAACACACCUAAUAUCUUUUAAUAACUUUUAUUAACAGCAACAUUAAUCUUUCAGAGAUUGGAAUUUACUUUGUUGCUUGUAGUUGUUUUCGUUCAGUCUCUCAUCCCUCUUCUCUCUCUCUCCUCUCUUUUUCUCAUUCCCUUCUUCCCUCCCUCCGUGUCUGUCUGUCUGUCUGUGUCUCUCACUCUGUAUACAAGUCAUAGAUCUCUCUCUGUGUAUACAUACAAGUGUGCAAAUUUCUAAUUGGUAAUUAUACCAAUCUUGUUUAGAUAAACAGUUUUAUUUAUAUUAAUUAACAUUUUGUCUUGGUUCUAUUACUAUUGUUGGUGUUACGACUUUCGAUAUUUUAACUGUCGGAAUUUUGUCCGAGUACCUGCACUCCUCCAUUCAUCAACACCAUCUAUUCUCUCAAAAGUAUAUUCUAUCAAAUUCAUUCUGACCCUUCCACGCAUGCAUCCUUCUGGGGCUUCUUUGUUACCCGUUUUAUAGAGAGCCUUCUGCUGAGUUUCGAACUAUCUCACUCAGAUCACCAGUUCAGAAGCACGCUUCAACUAUAUUGCCAUAAAAAAAAUAAUGACCAGCUAUGACAAGUUGACUGUCUUUAUAAAACUCAUUAACGCCUACUUGAACACGGUUCGAUCAAUUACAGCGAUAGACUUGAAAGUAAGUUUUCUGACUUCUGCCGCCAAAUACUUCUUUCGAAGUAUUCCGCCAACUACUUCUGUCCCAACGAGAACAACUUCGGGUGGCACAGAACUCUCUCAGUCAGAUUUUGUGAGGUGUAUUUCUCACACUUUCUAUUUAUCCUCUCCUUAAUAACUAUACACAAUUGUCUUAUAAACAUCUAAAAUAUGUCAUGCGAUGAAGUCUCUUAACUAACACGUUCUCUAUCGCAUUCAUUAUUUCACGUAUGUUCUUUUAUUCAACUAAUUGUUGGAUAUAUGUAAAUGUAAAAUAGUCAAAACUACUGAAAAGGUUGCAACACGCAACGAAAAUUUUAGGACAAUACAAAUAAGAAAUGAUUGGAAAAUUUACCGGUGAGUGUGUUAAAUAAUAAGGCACAAAAAGAGAAUGACUCUCCCCAGACACAACAGAAUAUGCUUCAAUACACGAACUCAUAUAAAGAAUCUUGCAAACCAAAUCCCAAAACGAAAUGUAAGUGUAAAAUAUUCCAGGUAAUAACAAAAAUAUGGAAACUUCUAUGAAUAUCAUUGUGGUCAAUAUACAUAUCACACUCAGCCUAAUUAAUAUUGUGUUAUUACUAACCGCAGUUUAAUAAUUAUAUCCACAACACUUCAGUCUAAUUACAGGUAAUCGAUAGUGAACAUCAGUUCCGUUACGCACUCUCAUCUCGGUGUCUGUCUAAUUCUGAGACACCUCGACACAGAACUGGAAGCGAUGCCACUGAAUCCUCGCCUCUUCACACAAUUUCAUUAACAAAACUAUAAUUGGAUGUCGUACAAAACCAAUGUCGUCGAGCAAAUACGUGUUAUUUACUCUGUGUACUUCGUCGUGAGCACUCUUAUUACAUUUACGCCGUUUCUCCAGAGUGAACGCACACCCAGCCUCCCAACCUUCCUUACCUAAACUAACACACGCGCGCACACAGGCACACACGCACAGGCAUACAGACGCACUGAAACACAUUCGUAGGGAGUCCCACUGAAUAUAUGAAUAUACUUACAUGCAUAUACGAAUGCGCACACAUAUAAGUGUGUGUGUGUGUGUGAGUGUGUGUGUGUAUAUGUGUGUGUGUGUGUGUGUGUGUGUGUGAUAGUAUACAUAACAGACGCCAGCAAAGAGAAAGAUAAGCGAAAACAACCUCAAGAAUGACGAAAACAAAAGGAAGGCCAAUUGAACAUAAGUAUAUAUAUAUAUAUAUAUAUAUAUAUAUAUAUAUAUAUAUAUAUAUAUAUAUAUAUAUAUAUAUAUAUAUAUAUAUAUAUAUAUAUAUAUAUAUAUAUAUAUAUUUAUAUAUAUGGAUAUAUAUGUAUGUAUACAUAAACAUAUAUAUGUGUGUGUGUAUAUAUAUAUAUAUAUAAUAUUUUUAUAUGUAUGUGUAUGUAUGUAUACGUAUAUAUCAAAGUAUAUAACCGAUGAUUAGAAAGGAAGAGAAAGUGGGGAAGAGAUGAAGGUGGGUAAGAGAUGGAGGUGGGAAGAGAUGGAGGUGGGGAAGUGAUUGAGUGAACAAAGGCUGUGAGUAAAAUGGCGACGUUGUCAGCUGGAAAUGAAUGACCACAAUACAACAACGGAAUGGCAGACAUUUUAAACAAUGUAAAGCGAGCGAAAACAAUGGAUAUUAUUGUCAUUCGCAUAACGAAUGUCGUUUACUUGCAACUGUUUAAGGGAGAGUCUGUGAUAUUCAUGCCAUUCCCCAAAAUUUUUGACCCCUGAAAUGAUCCCACGUAUACCCAGCCACAGUUGACCGAAGCUCCAGCAUUUGAGACGGUGUUGUUGAAGACAUACAAACAUAUAAGAAUCACAAUGGACAGUGUGUGUGUGUGUUUGUGUGGAUGAGUUACAGCACCGCUUCACAUCUGUGUGUGUGGACGUGUGUGCUUAUGUGUGCGGAUGUGUACGUUACAUGUGUGUGUGCUUAUACGUUUGUGUGUGUUUAUGUGUAUGUGUGUAGUAGUACUACCGUUUCAAAUUGGGAGUGAGGGAAUGAUAUUGCUGUCGCACACACAAACACACACACGAACGCACACACACAGAGAUACACACACAAAGAGUCAACAGAGCCUAACAGUGUAAGGCCUCUGACUAUGGAAUAGUCUUACUAAUUAUCAUGAAAGCGCUGACCAAAACACUCCAGCCUCUGUCCCACAGAUCUGCUGUAUCAUCUCCCCCUAGUUUUUCUACCUCUACUGCAGCAUCAUCUGCUCCUCAUCAGAGCAGUCUGAUCACGUGCCGCCUCAGCCAUUCUCGAGUAACACGUCCUCCGCCUAUAUUCAUCAAUAUUGUUCCAUCGACCAGUCCACCCCCUAGAAUUCUAUUUCUUAUUUCUUUAUUGCCCACAAGGGGCUAAACACGGAGGAGGCAAUCAAGGACAGACAAACGGAUUAAGUCGAUUAUAUCGACAGUGCGUAACUGGUACUUAUUUAAUCGACCCCGAAAGGAUGAAAAGCAAAGUCGACCUCGGCGGAAUUUGAACUCAGAACUUAGCGGCAGACGAAAUACGGCUACGCAUUUCGCCCGGCGCGCUCAGGUUUCUGCCGGCUCGCCGCCCAGAAUUCUAUUUCUGUUAACUCCUAACCACCAAGCUGUUGAAGACACAUUAACCAUCCUGAUCACGACCAAUCUGUGAAAUUAUGCGUAGGCCAUAGUUUUAGCCUUUGGCUGCCGACCAGUCCAUUACCAGAAAUAUCAACAAACCAAAAAGGACAGCGUCCACUGUUGAUGUUAUGGGGUCUUUCUCUGGUUGAGUUAUGUUUCCAGUUGUAACAAUGAAAUGGUUGUGUUGUUAAGUCCAGGACCACCAUACGGAAACCGUUGGAAAAUCAUUGAUAGCUUCCCAUUGUAUGUUAAUCGAUCUAUGACAAAGGACUAAGUAUCUCCAGGAUAUAAUCUGACGAAGCAUUAAACCUGGCAAUGCCCAUAGGCAAGACAGUCGUUCCUGCGUGUGGCAGUGACCUUUUUCUGCCCUUAUUCUGGUUGCACCAUAUUUACAGCCAAGUAAACUGACCAAAGUCACACACACAAUUGAAUGAAGUAUCAAUAUUUAAAAUAUCGAUAUUUUGAUUGAUUGCCUUAAUGGUUGCCCCGACAACCUGGACCUGUUUUGGUAUAAUGUAAAAAGCGACAGGGUUGACUUGAAAGAAAAACAAUCAAAUAACCUUCGAAUUUCACCUCAACUUUUCAAAAAGAGAACAAGGAGUUAAAUGCUGUUCAAAAGGGUUUGGACGCUAACAGCUGCAGAUCGUUAAAACAUGGUCAGAGCUGGAACGCCUCUGAUCAUUAGCUUGAUCGAUUAGCGCAAACCAUGGGCUAAAAAUCACUGCCAUCAAUAAUAAUAAUAAUAAUAAUAAUAAUAAUAAUAAUAAUAAUAAUAAUAAUAAUAAUAAUAAUAAUAAUAAUAAACAGAGCUCAAUGCUAAAAACAAGAUAAUAGGCAUUAACACUUUAGCCGUUCCAGUUAUAAGUUACAGCUACAAUAUCAUUAACUGGACACUAAAUUAACUAACCAAAAUAGACAGAAAAACAAGAAAAAUAAUGACAGGAUCUAGGAUGCACCACCUAAAAUCUGACAUAGAAAGGCUAUAUAUACAACGUAUAGAUGGUGGUAGAGGCCUUAUACAGCUGGAAAACUAUUAUAAAAUAACCACCAUAGGACUGCAAAAAUACCUAUUUCAGAAGCAAGGGAAACUAAUACAAAUAGCCACAAAACACGAGCAAAAUAAAAUACUGUUCUCAGUAUUUAAGGAAGCUGACAAAUACAAAAAAGAAAUCAUACUACCUAAAAUAUGAAGAAGAAGAAGAAGAAGAAACAACAAAAGCUAUAAAACAAAUGAGCAACGGACCUUGAUAAAACAAUGACAAGAAAAGCCCCUUCAUAGCAAAUACUGGGCUAAACUAAAUGCAAAAAAAAAAUAGUCAGAGAAAAAUCCCAGCAACAGUUGAAAAGCGCAGGACUAAAAGCAGAGACUGAAGGAUUUUUAAUUGCAGCAGAAGACCAAAUUCGCCCCACCAGGAAUUACCAAAAACAUAUAAUGAAAAGAAACAUAACAAGUAACUGCAGAAUAUGUGGAGAUGGACAAGAAACAAUAAAUCAUAUUAUCUCUGGCUGCCCAGUCCUGACUAAGAAGGAAUAUAUUCACAGACACGACAGUGUUGGGACCUACAUACACUGGAAGCUAUGUCAACACUAUGGAAUAACAACAGAAAAAAGAUGGUAUAGGCACACACCAGAAAAGGUCACAGAAAACGAGAAAGCAACCAUACUCUGGGAUAUGCCAAUACACACAGAUAGAGAAAUUAAGGCCAACAGACCAGAUAUAGUUGUCAGAGAUCAUGAAGAAAAAAUGCUUUCUAAUUGAUGUAUCAAUACCAGCAGAUGACAACGUUUCUCUAAAAGAAAUGGAGAAACUUUCAAAAUACAAAGACUUGGAAAUAGAGGUAACUCGAAUGUGGAAUCUAAAAACAGAACAAUUCCUAUGAUAGUAGACGCAUUAGGUAUGAUAAAAAAUAUUCAGACAAAUACAUAACAAAAACACCAGGACUUACAAAUAUAUAUAACAUACAGAAAAUUGCACUACUGGGCACUAAACACAUCCUACGCAAAAUACUUUCAAUACAGUAAGCAUAAAAGCAUCACAGCAAACCACAGCACAUACCCAAGGCACACAGAGCUGCGCUCGGUAGUGAAGUAAAAGCACGCUAUAAAAAAUAAAAUUACUGAAUAAUAAUAAUAAUAAUAAUAAUAAUAAUAAUAAUAAUAAUAAUAAUAAUAAUAAUAAUAAUAAUAAUAAUAAUAAUAAUAAUAAUAAUAAUAAUAAUAAUAAAAAAUAAUAAUAAUAAUAAUAAUAAUAAUAAUAAUAAUAAUAAUAAUAAUAAUAAUAAUAAUAAUAAUAAUAAUAAACUGGUACAUCACACGUAUUGAGAAGAGCAUUGUCGAUGUGAGAACUGUUGCUGCUCAUGUAUUUUAAUUUAACUUAAAAAAAAAAUGAACGAACUAUUGAGUUUGGUUUAAUGGCCUACCAAUGUAUACUAUGAGUUUCUUUGCCCUAGGAGUCGGGAAGACACUCGGCAAGAAAUGGAAGCAAAUUUGAAAGAAGAAAAAAAAAGUAAUAAUAAUAAUAAGAAGAAGAAGAAGAAAAGAAGAAGCAAAGAAGAAAAGGAAGUAUAAGAAGAAGAAGAAGAAGAAGAAGAACAACAACAACAACUACAUCAACAACAAUAACAAUAACAACAAAAGCAAACGCAAAAAACAGCUACAAUAAUGGCUACAACAACAUGGAAACCGACGACAACAAACGACAGCACCAGCAAUAACAAUAAUAAAAAAACAUUAAAACACAAAUUAGAAGUAAUACUGUCAACUUUAAUUAAAAUUAAUUUCCUUGUUAAUUCUAACAACAC